CUAUAAAAAGGUCUAUGUUUUGUUUUCAUUAGUACAUUGAAGCAGCCGUAAUGAUACACCUCAGAUGCUGUAGAAAGAGGACUUGCAGAAUUCAGCAGUGAAGCCAUCAGGACCUGGGCUUUUCUUCUUCCUGGGCAGAGAGAUUUUGCAGAAAGCUCACACCUCUCACAUGAUUGCAGCUGAGACCUCAGCGUUUACAUCCCGAAACACUGACACUAACUCUUCUACUCAUCUGGUGAGGGCCAGUCCCCAGGGCGAGAUCCGGUCCUUUCUGCAUGUUCCCGAAGUGACCUGCCCAAGAGAGAUCUGGUUUACAGAAGGACUACUCGAUGUGAAGUGAUGUUCCUGCCUUGGACCCAUGGAUUCACUCCAUCUUUGUCAUUCUAUCUCUGGUGGACAUUGAACUUUAUAAAAUGUGAUAAAAAGUACUUUUAGUCUUGGAAGGAGCAAACUGGACUGUCUGAAAAACAACUUUUUAAGUGAAAACGGGAACUUUUGGUGGAGAUCCACUGUUUCCAAAACCUUGAAGGAACAAAGGUUGCCACUCGCCAGCACCUGGGGAGUCAAUAUGCGUCUAUCAGCUCUUGACUUUGGGCCCAGUGCACCUUCUUGAUCCUGAUUACUGCAGACACCUUCUGAUUCAUCUUCCACAAACCGAGUAUUCGCAGCCCAACUGUUCAGAUGAACCUUAAAUGUAAGUACACCGUCAUGCGGUUAUCUUAGUCAUCGUCUCAAAGCCUGCAAUGGCUACUAUUUCUUUCCAGUCCAAAAAAGCCAGGUUCUCCAAGAUGUCUGGAAGUGGCCACAUCCAGAGUCCUCAGCUUCUACUUCUCCAUAGAAUUAUUUCUCCUCACUCUUCCUCCCUGGAAGGAGCCUACUCCUCAAGGACUGGUCACUCUACUCUUUUCUUUGUUGGGAAUGCAGUGGCCCAACACUCAUAAUUUGUUUGGGGCCAUGUUUCUUUGGCUCCAAGGAAGAAACAUCAUAGCAGAAAAGCAUGGUAGAGGAAAGCUGCUCAUGUCAUAGUGGCCAGAGAAAGAGAGAGAGAGAGGGAGGAACCAGGCAGGAAGAUCCACUCUUCCAGGUCACAUGCCCAUUGACUCAGCUCUUUCAAUCAGACCCCACCUCCUACCUAACCACAGAUUCAUCAGUUGACUAAUCCUCCCAUGAGUACAACCUCUGCAUGACCCAGUCAUUUUCAAAAAGCCCAACUUCUGAACACACGAGUCUUGGGGGAGUGGAGCAUGCUAGAUCCAAACCAUGGCCAUAACAAAUGCCACUAAUUUGAAGUUUGUAGUGAAGUUCCAGUAAUGUUUUCUGAAUGAAUAAAUGGACCCAUAAAUUAAGAGCCAUCAGUACCUGGAAGAAUGGUAACUUCUCAAUUGCUAGGUGUUUGUCAUCCCCCGAAAAACCACUCAUGACUUAACGGAAAAAACACAAGUAUUGCUGCCACAUUUUUACAUUGCUGAGUGUAGCCUAGGUUGAAAUUUUUUCUUUUAAUAGCAGGGAUUAUCGGUAACCGACCUUGCCUUUAGGAAAAAGAAAAAUCUCAAUAAUGCUAUAUUAUAGAAGCAUAAUUUUGAA